rnacentral:rRNA from 1 species
AUUGAACGCUGGCGGCAGGCCUAACACAUGCAAGUCGAGCGAGCGGCGGACGGGGGAGUAAUGUAUGGGGACUGCCCGAUAGAGGGGGAUAACUACUGGAAACGGUAGCUAAUACAGCAUACUAUCGGAUAACCCAGAUGGGAUUAGCUAGUAGGUGAGGUAAUGGCUCACCUAGGCGACGAUCCCUAGCGGGUCUGAGAGGAUGAUAAGCCACACUGGGACUGAGACACGGCCCAGACUCCUACGGAGGCAGCAGUGGGGAAUAUUGCACAAUGGGCGCAAGCCUGAUGCAGCCAUGCCGCGUGUAUGAAGAAGGCCCUAGGGUUGUAAAGGACUUUCGGCAGGGAAGCGGUACCGACAGAAGAAGCACCGGCUAACUACGUGCCAGCAGCCGCGGUAAUUC